GAUUUGGACGAGUCAUUCGGAUUCUUAGCACCCGCGAGCGUCAACUUAGGUUUAAUCUUAAGUAGACCGCAUACCGUGACGGAGUAUGUUCUUCGGAUCCUCAUGGAGAAUAAAGAUGCGGAGAAGUUGUUUUUUAUACCGUUUAAUACCGGUGGACAUUGGUUGUUGCUCGCAAUCAAUCCUAUCCGAGAAAUUGUGUAUUAUCUUGACUCGUUAGGAAAUGAUUGGACAACAUACCCGGAUAUGAAGGACCUAAUUGACACCGUCCUACAAGCUUUUCGGGCCCAACGAGAUAUCCAAACCUCAAG